rnacentral:rRNA from 1 species
GUUAUAUGGUCAAGUGAAGAAGCGCAUACGGUGGAUGCCUUGGCAGUCAGAGGCGAUGAAAGACGUGGUAGCCUGCGAAAAGCUUCGGGGAGUCGGCAAACAGACUUUGAUCCGGAGAUCUCUGAAUGGGGGAACCCACCUAGGAUAACCUAGGUAUCUUGUACUGAAUCCAUAGGUGCAAGAGGCGAACCAGGGGAACUGAAACAUCUAAGUACCCUGAGGAAAAGAAAUCAACCGAGAUUCCCUUAGUAGUGGCGAGCGAACGGGGAUUAGCCCUUAAGCUUCAUUGAUUUUAGCGGAACGCUCUGGAAAGUGCGGCCAUAGUGGGUGAUAGCCCCGUACGCGAAAGGAUCUUUGAAGUGAAAUCGAGUAGGACGGAGCACGAGAAACUUUGUCUGAACAUGGGGGGACCAUCCUCCAAGGCUAAAUACUACUGACUGACCGAUAGUGAACCAGUACCGUGAGGGAAAGGCGAAAAGAACCCCGGAGAGGGGAGUGAAAUAGAACCUGAAACCGUAUGCGUACAAGCAGUGGGAGCCUACUUGUUAGGUGACUGCGUACCUUUGUAUAAUGGGUCAGCGACUUAUAUUCAGUGGCAAGCUUAACCGUAUAGGGUAGGCGUAGCGAAAGCGAGUCUUAAUAGGGCGUUUAGUCGCUGGGUAUAGACCCGAAACCGGGCGAUCUAUCCAUGAGCAGGUUGAAGGUUAGGUAACACUGACUGGAGGACCGAACCCACUCCCGUUGAAAAGGUAGGGGAUGACUUGUGGAUCGGAGUGAAAGGCUAAUCAAGCUCGGAGAUAGCUGGUUCUCCUCGAAAGCUAUUUAGGUAGCGCCUCAUGUAUCACUCUGGGGGGUAGAGCACUGUUUCGGCUAGGGGGUCAUCCCGACUUACCAAACCGAUGCAAACUCCGAAUACCCAGAAGUGCCGAGCAUGGGAGACACACGGCGGGUGCUAACGUCCGUCGUGAAAAGGGAAACAACCCAGACCGCCAGCUAAGGUCCCAAAGUUGUGGUUAAGUGGUAAACGAUGUGGGAAGGCUUAGACAGCUAGGAGGUUGGCUUAGAAGCAGCCACCCUUUAAAGAAAGCGUAAUAGCUCACUAGUCGAGUCGGCCUGCGCGGAAGAUGUAACGGGGCUCAAACCACACACCGAAGCUGCGGGUGUCACGUAAGUGACGCGGUAGAGGAGCGUUCUGUAAGCCUGUGAAGGUGAGUUGAGAAGCUUGCUGGAGGUAUCAGAAGUGCGAAUGCUGACAUGAGUAACGACAAUGGGUGUGAAAAACACCCACGCCGAAAAGACCAAGGGUUCCUGCGCAACGUUAAUCGACGCAGGGUUAGUCGGUUCCUAAGGCGAGGCUGAAAAGCGUAGUCGAUGGGAAACAGGUUAAUAUUCCUGUACUUCUGGUUACUGCGAUGGAGGGACGGAGAAGGCUAGGCCAGCUUGGCGUUGGUUGUCCAAGUUUAAGGUGGUAGGCUGAAAUCUUAGGUAAAUCCGGGGUUUCAAGGCCGAGAGCUGAUGACGAGUCGUCUUUUAGAUGACGAAGUGGUUGAUGCCAUGCUUCCAAGAAAAGCUUCUAAGCUUCAGGUAACCAGGAACCGUACCCCAAACCGACACAGGUGGUCGGGUAGAGAAUACCAAGGCGCUUGAGAGAACUCGGGUGAAGGAACUAGGCAAAAUGGCACCGUAACUUCGGGAGAAGGUGCGCCGGCUAGGGUGAAGGAUUUACUCCGUAAGCUCUGGCUGGUCGAAGAUACCAGGCCGCUGCGACUGUUUAUUAAAAACACAGCACUCUGCAAACACGAAAGUGGACGUAUAGGGUGUGACGCCUGCCCGGUGCCGGAAGGUUAAUUGAUGGGGUUAGCGCAAGCGAAGCUCUUGAUCGAAGCCCCGGUAAACGGCGGCCGUAACUAUAACGGUCCUAAGGUAGCGAAAUUCCUUGUCGGGUAAGUUCCGACCUGCACGAAUGGCGUAACGAUGGCGGCGCUGUCUCCACCCGAGACUCAGUGAAAUUGAAAUCGCUGUGAAGAUGCAGUGUAUCCGCGGCUAGACGGAAAGACCCCGUGAACCUUUACUGUAGCUUUGCACUGGACUUUGAGCCUGCUUGUGUAGGAUAGGUGGGAGGCUUUGAAGCGUGGACGCCAGUUCGCGUGGAGCCAUCCUUGAAAUACCACCCUGGCAUGCUUGAGGUUCUAACUCUGGUCCGUGAUCCGGAUCGAGGACAGUGUAUGGUGGGCAGUUUGACUGGGGCGGUCUCCUCCUAAAGAGUAACGGAGGAGUACGAAGGUGCGCUCAGACCGGUCGGAAAUCGGUCGCAGAGUAUAAAGGCAAAAGCGCGCUUGACUGCGAGACAGACACGUCGAGCAGGUACGAAAGUAGGUCUUAGUGAUCCGGUGGUUCUGUAUGGAAGGGCCAUCGCUCAACGGAUAAAAGGUACUCCGGGGAUAACAGGCUGAUACCGCCCAAGAGUUCAUAUCGACGGCGGUGUUUGGCACCUCGAUGUCGGCUCAUCACAUCCUGGGGCUGAAGCCGGUCCCAAGGGUAUGGCUGUUCGCCAUUUAAAGUGGUACGCGAGCUGGGUUUAGAACGUCGUGAGACAGUUCGGUCCCUAUCUGCCGUGGACGUUUGAGAUUUGAGAGGGGCUGCUCCUAGUACGAGAGGACCGGAGUGGACGAACCUCUGGUGUUCCGGUUGUCACGCCAGUGGCAUUGCCGGGUAGCUAUGUUCGGAAAAGAUAACCGCUGAAAGCAUCUAAGCGGGAAACUUGCCUCAAGAUGAGAUCUCACUGGGAACUUGAUUCCCCUGAAGGGCCGUCGAAGACUACGACGUUGAUAGGCUGGGUGUGUAAGCGUUGUGAGGCGUUGAGCUAACCAGUACUAAUUGCCCGUGAGGCUUGACCAUAUAACACCCAAACA